AUUGAACGCUGGCGGCAGGCCUAACACAUGCAAGUCGCACGAGUGGCGCACGUGUGUGAAAUGUCUGGGUCACUGCCCGAUGGAGGGGUAUAACUACUGGAAACGGUAGAUAACACCGUAUAACCUCAGAUGUCCCAAGAUGGGAUUAGCUUGUUGGUGGGGUGACGGCUCACCAAGGCUAAGAUCCCUAGCUGUUCUGAGAGGAUGACCAGCGACACUGGAACUGAUACACGGUCCAGACUCCUACGGGAGGCAGCAGUGGGGAAUAUUGCCCAAUGGGCGCAAGCAUGAUGCAGCCAUGCCGCGUGUAUGAAGAAGACCUUCGGGUUAUAAAGUACUUUCAGCGGGGAGGCGUUACCCGCAGAAGAAGCACCGGCUAACUCCGUGCCAGCAGCCGCGGUAAUAC
rnacentral:rRNA from 1 species